rnacentral:lncRNA from 1 species
AUGAGCUCUUUCGCCCAGGUGACAGGGGUUUCUGCCAUAUUGAUCUUCUUCUUCUUCACCUUUUGUGUUUCAGUGCUGGGCUGGAGAAGGCAGGGGCCUUGGCUCUUCCACGGUGGCUGUUCAUCAGCACUCAUACAUCCACUAUACGGGUUUAGUCGCACACUGGAAGGUCUGUCAUUGCACUCUGCUGAGUCCAGAAGCUGGGAAUCCAUGCCAGCCUUAUUAUUUAGAAAACUGCCCGAUAGGGGCAUCUUGCAGAAGACUGACUCCCAAUGACAACAGGAUCUGCAUCUAAAAUAACGUGAGUAGAUUGCGGAUUGAUUCAUGGGAUCCAGCACUGAGCAGCCCAAACUCCAUCCUUCCAAGUUUCAUCUCCGAACUCCUGUCAGUCUCAAAAUUGAUAGAGCAGCGUGAAGCCAUUAAACAGAGUUAUGUCGGCAAUCACCUUUCUCAUUCUCUCAUAUGGGUGCCAAUACGUCAAGGGGACCCAGGCAAGGGAACAACAGGGUGGCUUUUUUUUAGCAUUAUGACAAGCAAAUGCUUGAAUACCAAGGAGCACAUGAGCUUUGCAGCAGCAGAGAAAAAAGAAAAGAAAAAAAAAAAGCCCCCACAUGGACGCCUGCCUCCAACUCCAGUGGCCCUGCACGGUGUAAAAAGGAGAUUGCUAACAAAAAGGUUAUUCAGCGCUUCUCCGAAUAAACCCAAAGGUAACAAGUAUGGACGGAGCA